rnacentral:rRNA from 1 species
GUGGGGAAUAUUGGACAAUGGGCGAAAGCCUGAUCCAGCCAUGCCGCGUGAGCGAAGAAGCCUUUCGGGGUGUAAAGCUCUUACGCCAGGGACGAUAAUGACGGUACCUGGAGAAGCAGCUGCGGCUAACUACGUGCCAGCAGCCGCGGUAAUACGUAGGCAGCAAGCGUUGUUCGGAAUUACUGGGCGUAAAGGGUGCGUAGGCGGUUGCCUAAGUUUGGUGUGAAAUCUCCCGGCUUAACUGGGAGGGUGCGCUGAAGACUGGGCGACUUGAGUAUGGGAGAGGAAAGCGGAAUUCCUGGUGUAGCGGUGAAAUGCGUAGAGAUCAGGAGGAACACCUGCGGUGUAGACGGCUUUCUGGACCAAGACUGACGCUGAGGCACGAAAGCGUGGGUAGCAAACAGGAUUAGAAACCCUAGUAGUCC